rnacentral:rRNA from 1 species
CAGCCAAGUAGCGUGCAGGAUGACGGCCCUCCGGGUUGUAAACUGCUUUUAGUUGGGAAUAAAAAAAGGGACGUGUCCCUUAUUGUAUGUACCUUCAGAAAAAGGACCGGCUAAUUCCGUGCCAGCGAGCCGCGGUAAUA